GGGACCCUGCGCGGGGCGGGGCGAGCGGGAGGGAGGCGGCCCCUGAGCCGGUGGCCGGCCGGGCUGGGACCCUGGGCGGGACCGCCGCGGGGACAGCGCUGGGUGAGACCGGCAUCCGUCCCCGGGGCGCGGGGGUGACCGCCAGGAGGUGUCUCGCAGGCCACAGGCAGGGCCGGCCCGGGCCGUGCGUCUCUGGUGGUAGUAAGAUCCAGAGCUUUGCGGAGCUUCCCACGUCCAGGAGCACAUCUAACUUAUCGAACGCUCCCGGCAGCCCUAUGGAACAGACAGGACGAUCAUCCUCCCAUAAUACACAUGAGGAAACCAGACACAGAGAGGUUUAGGAGCUUGCCUGAGGUCACACAGCCAGUAAGUGACAGAGCUGGGGUGAGAACACAGAUGAUGUGGCAACACUACCCUCUUAGCACGGUGCCCUAUAGCUACUCCGGCUUCUUGGCCAGAUGUGGCUGACGGACAAGGAGAAGUUAUUGAGAUGAAAAGGAGAGGAAGGGAGUUCCAGCAGAGGGAACUGCAUGAACAGAAGCCCUGAGGCAUGAGGAGAUGUUCUCCGCGUGGCAGUGAACGUGGCCCCUUCAACUCCCUGUGCUGGUGUCAAGUCCCAGCUCGGAAACCAUUGGCCCAGCUGGGGGCAGAUGCCCGCCCAGACCAUCAUACUGUGGCUGGAGACAGGGUCGUGCACAAGCAUGGCUCGUCCCUGGGAACCAUAUGGAUGGAGCUGGGUUUCAGUGAAGAAUUGGCAUCCAGAACACUGAGCUGCCCUCGCCUCCCAGACCGCGAGCCUGAGUCGGCCGCUGCCCUGCACCGUGGUCCCCCAGCUCCCGAAACUGUGCUGGGAAACCCCGUUUCGCCAAGAAUGGCUAAAGCAGUGCUGCCACUGAUGAGAUCUGUUCCACGGAGACCCUCGGCCCCAGCCCUGAGGCCUGCUGGCCUGGGAGCACCCUCUCCCCAUCCUACCUCGGAAUCUUUUCGGGCAUCUCCCUUGCCUGCGGAGGAGAGCCCAUCAGGGACUGCAGAGAGCGUCCGUCUGCACCUCCUCCAUUGAACUCUGGACUGGGCCACUGCCCUCCUUGUCUCCUUUCCAAAUCACUUCUGUCAUGGUCCCAGCAGGAAACAGAUGGCACGCGCAAACGAUUUUCUGGAAGGACUUUGGCAAAGGGACUGUUGACAGGCGUGAGAGCGGGGUUAAGAGAGUCGACAAGGGAGGCGGCACCCCAGAAACAGAGACCGACUGUCCAAGGGCCCCGGGGUGGUCAGCAGGCGCCCAAGCCGGACCCCGCUUCACAUAGGAAGUCACAGCCAUUGACGGGCAUUUUCCACCUGCCAUACAAUGUCUUUAGAGAAUGCACAGGCUGCUUCGGGACCGCCAUUCGCAGCUCUUGUGCGCACUGAGGGACCUGAAUGUCAGCUCAGACUUGGUGCGCCGAAGGCUUUUCCAGGGGGAGCGAGUGCCCACCCGGCAUCGCACCCUGGUGUCUCCCCACGGGCUGUGAGGAAUACACGUGACCGUGUGCAUGGAAGUGCCCGGCAGCGUGUUCGGAAGGAGCAGGGGCUGUGCCCGCAUACAGGAAGUGCUUAAUCAAUGUGGAGAGCAAACAAGCAGGUUCUUUGCUGAGGGGAGAGGGAGACAUGAAGGUGAGAAGGAAAAAGAUGGCUCCCGGUGGGAUGAACCAAGGAUGCUGUAUGUUUGGUUGCUGUGACCCAUGGCCACAGACGUGGUGACUUAUUACAGCCCACAGUCAUUCUCGCCCAACUCCGGAGGGCAGACGUCAGCCGUCGGUUUCACGGACCCAAAUCGAGGGCUGGCCAAGGCUGUGCUCUCUCUUGGAGCCACUCGGGGAAUCACGUCCCUGGCCAUCUCCGGCUUCUGCAGCUGCAGUCGUUGGCUCCUGGCCCCGUCCUCCAGCUUCAACAUCAGCGGGUGGCCCCCCUCCCUCCAGGCCCUGGGCUGCGGGCAAAGGAGGGGGCCCUCAGGGCCGCACUGCCCGGCCACCAGCCCUGGGGAACCUGCCGGCUGUUUUCUAACAAUUAGUGGGAGAAAGACCUCAUCCAAGCACACCCAGGGCGGCCGUUUCUCCUGGCAGUACUUUCCGGUUUGGCUCCAAAAGAAAAUAAAAACGUGAUGUUUAGUAAUCCCUUCA
rnacentral:lncRNA from 1 species